GUCUAUCCCGAAUCCCGAGUUAUUUUCGGCCCAUCCCAGUGUCCCGAAAAUACCCGUUCUCCCCCUCAUACAUAGUAGACCAUAUUGUCACAUUGAUGUUUUCUUUCAUUACAGUUAGACUUCGAGAUCUACAUUUUCGACAAAGGCCUGGUGUAAUAUUAUUACGUACUUGAUGAAGCAACAUUCAAUAGAUUUAUUUACUGUAUUAUCAUUUCGACCAAGGCGAAUUCGACACUUCAAUUCAAUUACACAAGCACAAUCAAACUUAGUCAUUCCAGUCAGUUACUGAAGCACAGCGAAAACUGUCUGAAUUAGUGCUGCUGAUGGCAUGUAAUUACUCUACUACCACUACCAGUGACAGUCAAUGUCCAAAUAUUUUCAAGUGUGCGA